rnacentral:rRNA from 1 species
GAUGAACGCUGGCGGCGUGCCUAAUACAUGCAAGUCGAGCGAACAGACGAGGAGCUUGCUCCUCUGACGUUAGCGGCGGACGGGUGAGUAACACGUGGAUAACCUACCUAUAAGACUGGGAUAACUUCGGGAAACCGGAGCUAAUACCGGAUAAUAUAUUGAACCGCAUGGUUCAAUAGUGAAAGACGGUUUUGCUGUCACUUAUAGAUGGAUCCGCGCCGCAUUAGCUAGUUGGUAAGGUAACGGCUUACCAAGGCGACGAUGCGUAGCCGACCUGAGAGGGUGAUCGGCCACACUGGAACUGGGACACGGUCCAUACUCCUACGGGAGGCAGCAGUAGGGAAUCUUCCGCAAUGGGCGAAAGCCUGACGGAGCAACGCCGCGUGAGUGAUGAAGGUCUUCGGAUCGUAAAACUCUGUUAUUAGGGAAGAACAAAUGUGUAAGUAACUAUGCACGUCUUGACGGUACCUAAUCAGAAAGCCACGGCUAACUACGUG